UGAAUACGAGAUGCUACGGCGUCGAAGCAGUCUAUGUCAUACUUCCAAGAAAAGCUUGCACUGUCAUAAACAAAUAAUGCCUGUACCAUAACCGACACAGGUGGGUAGGUAGAGUAUACUAAGGGGCGCGAGAUAACUCUCUCUAAGGAACUCGGCAAAUGACUCCGUAACUUCGGGAGAAGGAGUGCCUUAUUUAUAAGGUUGCAAUAACAAGAUCCAAGCAACUGUUUACCAAAAACACAGGUCUCCGCUAAGUCGUAAGACGAUGUAUGGGGGCUGACGCCUGCCCAGUGCCAGAAGGUUAAAGAAGUUGGUUAGCAUCCGCGAAGCUGAUAACUGAAGCCCUGGUGAACGGCGGCCGUAACGAUAACGGUCCUAAGGUAGCGAAAUUCCUUGUCGGGUAAGUUCCGACCCGCACGAAAGGCGUAAUGAUUUGGAUACUGUCUCGGAGAGGGGCUCGGUGAAAUAGACUUGUCUGUGAAGAUGCGGACUACCUGCACCAGGACAGAAAGACCCUAUGAAGCUUUACUGUAACCUGAAAUUGAAAUUGGACUUUACUUGCGCAGUAUAGGUGGGAGGCGUUGAGAAUAUUCUUGCGGGAUUAUUGGAGCCAUCAGUGAGAUACCACUCUUGUAAUGUUAGAUUUCUAACUUUGUAUCAUUAUCUGGUCAAAGAACAGUUUCAGGCGGGCAGUUUGACUGGGGCGGUCGCCUCCUAAACGGUAACGGAGGCGCACAAAGGUUUCCUCUGAACGGGUAGAAAUCGUAUCUAGAGUGUAAAGGCAUAAGGAAGCUUGACUGUGAGACCUACAAGUCGAGCAGGGACGAAAGUCGGUCUUAGUGAUCUGACGGUGCUGAGUGGAAAGGCCGUCACUCAACGGAUAAAAGUUACUCUAGGAUAACAGGCUGAUCUCCCCCAAGAGUUCACAUCGACGGGGAGGUUUGGCACCUCGAUGUCGGCUCAUCGCAUCCUGGGGCGGUAGUACGUCCCAAGGGUUGGGCUGUUCGCCCAUGAAAGCGGUACGCGAGCUGGGUUCAGAACGUCGUGAGACAGUUCGGUCCAUAUCCGGUGUAGGCGUUAGAAUAUUGAGAGGAGCCUUCUUUAGUACGAGAGGACCGAGAAGGACAUACCUCUGGUGUACCAGUUAUCGUGCCAACGGUAAACGCUGGGUAGCUAUGUGUGGAGUGGAUAACCGCUGAAAGCAUCUAAGUGGGAAGCCCACCUCAAGAUAAGUAUUCUCAAG
rnacentral:rRNA from 1 species